GCCCCGGUGGCACAAUCCCGGCAGUGCACCCGCAUUCCAUAGGUCUUUGAUGCUGAGAUGAAAUCCAGUCUGUGGGAGAUGUUCGUUCGAAUCGAGCCUGGGGCA